AAACGUUCAAAUUAUUCUUAUACCUCCAACUCUCAGACGUCUUCACCAGACCAAAUUGUUCUAUCACCUUAUCCCUAACAUUCCCAUGUCAACUAUAUUUAAGCUGUUUAUCGCGAUAUUGGGAGUUUGAUGGAGCAAGAUGGAAUAUAUAGAGGCGAAGAAGCAACCAGGAUUUGCAGCUUAUGGGUUCGUGAUUUUAAUAUUUAAGUUACUUGGUUCUAAUAAAUUAUUCAUAUUCGAUAAAUUUCUUAAGACAAAUGCAUAGUUUGGACAAAAGUUAUUGAAUUCUGUCGAACGUGGAGGUCGUGUUCUAACUCCGCACCUGAAUAUAUCAUGAAUCAGGUUCGUUAUAUUCAUAACUAGAUGUGGGCAUAGUUUGGGCAAACUCGAAAUUCGAAUUUUUUGGUUAGAAUUUUAGGAUUAGGGAUUGGAUUUUGGAUUUUAUUUUCAAAUUUUUUGGAUUUUGGAUUGGAUGUUGG
rnacentral:lncRNA from 1 species